CUGAUUCCCCCAUGCAGUGGCACACCAAGCUGACGCUGGCCUCCUGCGGAGACGCCUCAGCGCCCUCCUGCAGACCUCACGCCCCCCCACCCCCAGGAACCCCGGCCCUGGCCUGGUCUAGCGAGUCCCCCCUCCUCCCCGGGAGCAGCCGGUGAAGCUCCGGUGGAGGAAGCGAGGAGGAGACCCAGGAGGAGGAUGCCGCUGCCGCUGCCGCCGCCGCCGCCGCUGCAGGGCCCAGGGCUCCUGUAGGGCACGAGGCCUCCCACAUCAGGGUAAGGGGCCGGCGAAUGGCCUGGAUGCGUGGGACCCUGGGGGCAAGCAUCCUGGAGCCGAGCAGGCGACGGCACAGCCACCGCCCUCCCCCUCCCCGCCGCGGGUCCCGGGGCCGUGAGCGGGACGGCGGCAGCCAGUUGGGCCUGUCUGAAACGCCAGGCCUCGAGGCGGCUGCUUUAGGCGUCAAGUUGAGCGGGGUGUGUGUGCCCUCUUGGGGAAAGGGUCCCUCCCACCCGCCCUCCUGGGAGUGCAGAGACUCCGUCCGGAUGGAGGUGGGGAAGCCAGUCCCGCCAAGGAACCGGAGUUCGCGGCGCAGAGGGGAGGAGCGUGACCCCCAGGCUCACCCCUGGGGUCGCAGGACCCGGCGAGCGGAGAUCCACGCGGCCAGCGUCACCCACCCGAGCCUGGCGACGGGCGCGUCCAGGCGAGCUCCGCGGGGCCGAGGUGCCAGGAGAAGCAGCCCCGGGCGCCCGCGCGCUGCCCGCCGAGGGGUACCAGAAAUGCCGCGCCUCGGGGUCGAAGUCAUAAAGUUACUAAUCCCGCGCAGGGGGAGCAAGCGUGCCUCGGGCCGCCUGGGGCGGUCAUUUGAGCGUGUUUACUUAAGGACUUUGCAAGCGGAGCGCGCGCGAAAUAGUCGGAUUUCCAGCGAGGCAGCAAAUAUUUGCAGGCGGGAGAAAGAAGCGGAGCCGGGCCGCGCCGUUAAAGACAGAAAUGAAGCCGGAACCUGCGGGGCUGGGGGCGGGGAGGGCACAGAGCGACAGCAAAGGCCAGAAAUUGGAGCGCGGCCCCGAGGCCCUUGCGAGCCGGGGCUGGAGGAGGAGAAAUCCCUCCCCAUUCCAGCUCGAUCAAUCUUCCUUGGCUGCGAUCGCUCAAUAAAAAUGGUGUGAACCGGC
rnacentral:lncRNA from 1 species